CAGUAGUCACGUAGUUUGAUCAGUGGCUCAGAACGAACGCUGGCGGCAUGCCUAACACAUGCAAGUCGAACGAGACCUUCGGGUCUAGUGGCGCACGGGUGCGUAACACGUGGGAAUUUGCCUCGGGGUAUGGAAUAACUCAGGGAAACUUGAGCUAAUACCAUAUAAUGUCUUCGGACCAAAGAUUUAUCGCCCUGAGAUAAGCCCGCGUAGGAUUAGCUAGUUGGUGGGGUAAAGGCUCACCAAGGCGACGAUCCUUAGCUGGUCUGAGAGGAUGAUCAGCCACACUGGGACUGAGACACGGCCCAGACUCCUACGGGAGGCAGCAGUGGGGAAUAUUGGACAAUGGGCGCAAGCCUGAUCCAGCAAUGCCGCGUGCAGGAUGAAGGCCUUCGGGUUGUAAACUGCUUUGUACGGAACGAAACGGUGAGCUCUAAUACAGUUUGCUAAUGACGGUACCGUAAGAAUAAGCACCGGCUAACUACGUG
rnacentral:rRNA from 1 species